CCUACGGGCGGCAGCAGUGAGGAAUAUUGGUCAAUGGGCGCGAGCCUGAACCAGCCAAGUAGCGUGAAGGAUGACUGCCCUACGGGUUGUAAACUUCUUUUAUAAAGGAAUAAAGUGAGGUACGUGUGCCUUUUUGUCUGUACUUUAUGAUUAAGGAUCGGCUAACUCCGGGCCAGCAGCCGCGGUAAUACGGAGGGUCCGGGCGUUAUCCGGAUUUAGUGGGUUUAAAGGGUGCGUAGAUGGGUUGUUAAGUCAGUUGGGAAAGUUUGCGGCUCAACCGUAAAAUUGCGAUUGAUACUGGCAGUCUUGAGUACAGUAGAGGUAGGCGGAAUUCGUGGUGUAGCGGUGAAAUGCGUAGAUAUCACGAAGAACUCCGAUUGCGAAGGCAGCUUACUAAGCUGCCACUGACAUUGAGGCUCGAAAGUGUGGGUAUCAAACAGGAUUAGAUACCCUUGUAGUC
rnacentral:rRNA from 1 species